CAGUUACGUGAACAGCAUUAAACCAGCGAAGCAACCGGGUAAAGAUUCUAUUUCGAGUAUUAUCAGUCGCUUGAGUACGCGUUAAGAAACGAUUCUUUUAACUCGGAUCGAUAAAGUUAAAAAUAUUUAUAUACAAGGUGUCCUGUUUAUCGCAGCGUGAUAGGUAUUUUAUUUUCGUUGAUUGCUAGAGACCGAAGACUGCUGGUUCUAAUUUCUAAGGUCCAUCAUAGAAUCGGGAAACUAACUUUGUCGAAAUGUAAAAUUGCAAAAUUAUAAAAGAGAUGUUUCUAAACAAAGCUCUGACGUAACUUGUAACUGGUCGGUUCAUCGAUAUUAUUAGUUAUCCUGUAAGAUGAACCCGAGACGACACAGCUAGGAAAGCUAUCGAAUUGCAGUCAAUUCGAGUUGCCGACUCACAUUGUGGGAACUCGAUCCGUGAGAAGAGGAAGCUCGCGGCACAAUACGGCGAAAAAUUGGAGCGAAACAAACUGAGAACGCUUUGCAGCGAUACCGCGAUCGCCCUUUAUCGUUCGGUAAACAAGCGGUCGCGAGUCACGGGAAAUAUUUGCCGUUCUUAAAAGUCCACCCAGCCGGCAAUUUGGCCGGCGUUGGAUAAGAGGAGGUUGCUGGAAGGAUUCGCUGUCGAGACCGUUUAAAUCACUGCCUGGAGGGUCAACAGCCUGGCGAGGAGGUUUAACCGCGAUUCGCCUUUUAACUCGGAAGACAGAUCGCCUGCCGACUAAUUGACAAUCGAGGGAAAGAACGUUUCCGGGCGGUAGACCGCGAGAGCGUUUCCUCCUCUAGCAUUUCCACCAUCGAAAAGAAAAAGACUCGAGACAAUGGUGGAUUCCACUUGGCAACCGGUGCUUUCGGGACACUACAAUUAACGAAUUCCAGAAAUUAUUCCAGCACCGUGACAGAACGAUACGAGGAGAGAGUCAGCGACGACGGAGGAAAAGCCAUUCGUUUCCGGUGCAGAGUCGGACAAGAACGUCGACGUCGCGCAAUUCCAACGCGACGAAGAAAAGCUACCAGUCGAGUAUGGGACGAGAGAGAAAGAGCAAGGGAGAAGCUGAAGGACACUUCGGAAGAAAGAACGGCCGCCUCGUUAGAACACCGACCACCUCCGGGCAUCCUUGGCUCCUCGAUUCCUCUGCACUAAUUAAAUACUGCCGAGACGCGGAUUCGGCGUUCGACUGCAGCGAAAAUCUCGCCUACGGAUCCUCGACCUGUGCCCAGAAAGCAAGGAUUGGAACGACGACUUCUGACACUCCGUUUAAGAAGAGGCUCGGUCUUCGAUCGAGUUUCUUUCCGAUCAGAGUUUCUGGAUUCGUCAAAGGUGGCUUCGUUUGCGAUUUAAAGCAUUUCGAAGGUUUUGUUCGAUGGUUUUCAAGCUGAAGUAUAUCGAUGGAAAUGAAGUAAAAUUAGACACGCAUAGUUGCUACAAUGAAUAAUUGGUGUUAUUAUUUUUUCAAGAUGUUAAUCCUUGAUAUUUUUUAAUCGACGAAUAUUAGCACGCCGUAUUACGCGUUCAUUCAUAUAUUUUAUAUAUUAGGUUGUCCGGAAAGUGUCUUUCUUUCGCAAACCUACUUUUUACAACAGUGCAAACGUACAACCAUACUUCAUACAAACGUGAAACCAGGUCUGUGAAAUGUCACG